UUGGCAUUUGUGCUUCUGAAAUUGAAUCUGACGCUCAUCCUUUAUUUAAGUGUGAUUUUUCUGUUCCUGAUGGAAUCAAUUGCUUCCAUCUAUGUUUCAAUGACAGAUUAGGACACUUGUUUUGUAAAAUGGCACUAUCAGUGAAGUAACUUACCUUAAUAAGUGUAUCUUCAACCAGAAUAUGAAAGCUGACAACUGCUUCCAAAAGUUCCGCAACUGAACAUAGUGAAUAUAGGGCAUGUAACUAUUGUCUGGUCACAUGUGUUCAUAUAUUCCUUUAAUCAUGUUUUUUGGUGGAUUGCGUGUCAACUAUUUGUACAUUCAAUGUUUAUUAGUUUCCUAGUGGAUGCCCAUUUUUGUUUAAAAAGAUCAUGAAGUGUGCUAUAUUUGUCUUUGUUAGAUGCCCUCUAAGCUGCUAAAUGUUGGAAAUAUGAUUUUAUUCUUGUGAAAUGAACUUUUAAGCAAGAAAUCAAGUUUAAUAAAAUUAUAUUUAUCGACCUAAAAGGUCCUUUUCACUUCUGACUAUGGAUCAUUUUCUUGCCUUCAUUUAGACUGUGUCUUUGUAAAUGGAAAGGAAGAUUUUUGGUGGCUUUUGUCCGAAUGUUAAGCGGCCAAGAUUUUGGUAAAUUGAGACCAGAUGAUUAUGCUGUGAAUUCUAAAUAUCAACAAUAUCAUUUUCUAAAAUAGAAUAAUUUUUUAAGAUCAGGGGGAGCUUUGGUGCAACGGUAAAAUUGUUGCUUUGUGAUAUCACAAAUUUGAAUCUUGGAAACAGUCUCUUGUAAAAAAUAAGGUAAAGUUACGUAUAAUGAAUUCUUUUCUGGAACCUCGCAUGACAAGAGUUCAUGCAUUGGACUGACUUUUUUAUAUAUUACUUUCUAUUUCAUGCCAGAAUUGUCAAUAUUUUCUCAGGAAUAUGUCUAUUUUGAGUAUUUUGUAUUUGUAAACUGUUCACAUAAGUAUUUCUUGCAUUUUUAUUGCAUACAGCAGCACUAUGUCUGGAUUCAAUGUGGAAAAGGGUGUUCGUUUGUCUCAUUUCUGAUUAGUGGUGUCCUUUCACUCUCUGAAUGUGUGCUUGAUGCAUCUUUAUAAAAGGGGCCGUCAACCACUAAGCUGUAUUUCUUGGAUCAUCCAUUAAGAGUUGCAAGUUUCAGGCAGCUUUGCCGUCAAUUCCAUCUUCUCCUGCACAGUACUGAGCUAAAGAUUUUUCAGCCACAUGAUGGACAAUAAAUUUCAAUACAAGGCAAACUUAGAAGAAGAAAAAUUCAUCCCACAAUUUGGCCUGUUGGUCCGUACUUCACUUUCUAUAGGAGGCGAUGAUGGAAAACGAAAGAUCUGCCGCAUCCCUUUCAGGAAGGGGGGCCAUUUGAUCAUACUUGGACCCAAAAAAAAAAGCUUGAUGGCGAAUUGUUUAGUGAGGUGGAUGAGAAGAAAAGAGUUGGCAGAGUGAUGUGAAGUAAACAUCCAUCCCUGCCACUUGACCAGUUCAUUGAACCUUCGGCCAUGUAGUGUUGCUUCAUCUUGUGACCUUCCAUCAAUAUCAGAUUUCAUUUUGGUAUGUACACUUGGAAUACAUUUUAUGAUCACAUCAUGGAUGUGAUCUUAAAAUUGCUGUGUACACUUGAAUACAUUUUGGUUUGUAGUGUUGCCGAUUAAUAGUUGC